UACGAAGGGUGCAAGCGUUAAUCGGAAUUACUGGGCGUAAAGCGUGCGCAGGCGGUGCACCAAGCUCGAUGUGAAAGCCCCGGGCUUAACCUGGGAAUUGCAUUGAGGACUGGUGUGCUCGAGUGCGGCAGAGGGAGGUGGAAUUCCACGUGUAGCAGUGAAAUGCGUAGAGAUGUGGAGGAACACCGAUGGCGAAGGCAGCCUCCUGGGCCGACACUGACGCUGAGGGCACGAAAGCGUGGGGAGCAAACAGG
rnacentral:rRNA from 1 species